UACGAAGGGUGCUAGCGUUGUUCGGAAUCACUGGGCGUAAAGCGCGCGUAGGCGGCUUUGCAAGUCAGGGGUGAAAUCCCACGGCUCAACCGUGGAACUGCCUUUGAAACUGCAAAGCUGGAGUGUCGGAGGGGAUAGCGGAAUUGCUAAUGUAGAGGUGAAAUUCGUAGAUAUUAGCAGGAACACCGGUGGCGAAGGCGGCUAUCUGGACGACAACUGACGCUGAGGCGCGAAAGCGCGGGGAUCAAACAGG
rnacentral:rRNA from 1 species